CCCCGGCAUAUCAAGUAGACGAAAAAGUUGAUUUGGAGUUAUACAAAAUAUAGAAAUCAUUGGAUAAAUAGGAAACUUCAUUUUAAUUUGAGAUGUUAAAAUAUUUGGAAGAUUUUCAAAAUUAUUUAUAUGAAGAUAAGAUUCUGAAUGAAGAAUAUACAUGGUGGAACAUUUUGGCACUGGGAAACAUGACAAAGACAAAUUAUUGUGAUAGAAUGAAGGCACAAGGUCAUGUACACAUAUUAUGUGUUUGCAGAACAUCAUUUAUUCUAGAAACAUUAGAGAAGGCAAAGUUGGAGGUAAGUAUAGGGGUCUGCAUCCUGUGGGUAAGCAAGGGAGGAGCUCCAAAUGCCCAUCAAUCAUACACAGAUGUUAUAUUGGAACAUAUAGGUAUAUAAGGGAAAAAUAUUCCACUUACAGUUUAGUCCAACAACAGCUAGAGUGGCUAACACCUCCUCAUUUCUUCCAUCAAAAUCUUAUCUUUCCAAAAAUUUAUAUCUUCUAGUAAGUAUAUUCACUUUAUAACCCAUCCCUUGCCUGUUAUUUGCUCCCACCUAAAUAAAGGGUUGCGGGGAGCUCCAAGUACAAAUGGUCCCGAACUUACAAUGGUUUGACUUAAGAAUAUUUCAACUUUACAGUGGUGUGAAAGUAUUAUGCAUUUGGUAGAAAUCAUACUUCAAAUUUUGAAUUUUGGUAUUUUACCAUGCUAGCGAUAUGUGGUAGGGAAACUCUCUUAAGAUGACAGGCAGUAGCAGUGAGUUGCAGCUCCUAGUCAGCUAUGUGACAACAAGGGUAGACAACCAAUACUCUGUAGUGUACUGUUACCUGUGGUUUUGGGAUAUUGUGUUUUGUGUUAUCUCAUUGCAUCAUGUCUACAAAACACCCAUCUGUGUACAGUACUCAACACCUUAUUAUAAAAUAGUACUUGUGUUAGAUGAUUUUUGUCUAGCUGUAAGCUAAUAUAACUGUUUUGGGCACGUUUAAGGCAGGGUAGGCUAAGCUACAUUGUUUGGUAGGUUAGGUGUAUUAAAUGAAUUUUCGACUAAUGAUAUUUUCAGCUUACAAUGGUUAUAUAAUUCCAUUGUAAGUCGAGGAGCACCUGUAGUUUGAAUUCUUUCCUGUCCUGUAAUAAUAGUAUGCCAUUUCUGAUUGAAUACAAAUACAUGCCAAUAGCUUCUACAGAUUACAAAUUUGUGCAUCUCAUUCGCUUAUCAAAUAACCCUAAACAUUUGUGCAUAUCAUUAGCUUAUCAAAUAUCAAUAUUAAACAUUUAUAUGCCUGUAAAUGAAGCAAGUAUUCAAGAAUUCCUGAGCUGAACAGUUUAAAUUUCCUCAAAUCUUCUCUGUACUGUGAUUUGGGGAUAGAGAUGUGAGUGGGUAAUGAACUGAAAAGGAACAGUGCAGAAAACGUUAAAAUUCACAAUUUUGUAUAAUGUCUACCUCAUUGGAACAAAUCUAAUGUUUGAUUUUAUGUAUUAAAGAUGCUUCAGUAAUCGACUAAAUUUUAUGGAGUUUUUGUCUGGAGAUUUUGGCAAUGAUGUACCUUGUACAUAGUAUGUUAAUCAAUAUUUUUGGAUUGAAUAAAAGAAGGAAUAAAAUGGAUUCAACUUGCACAUUGGUUGUUGAACUGACAAAUAAGAAAUUUUUAAAGUUUGUUCCUCUAUAGGCAUUUAAACUGGGAUUGAUUAUUUACUAAGCUUAGGUGACUUAGUGAUGGGAAUUGACUAAAGGUAGGAAAAUGGCCAGAUGAGUGCCUGUCAUUCCUUCUGGUCCCAUGAUUCCAAACAGAAUGGAUGAAACUGUAAUAUUCAGUUAUAGUUUAGGAGUUUCAUUUGAAUGUUUUCCCUAAGGAAAUCUGACAAUUUUUAUUCUACCAUCUUCCUUAAAUGUAAUAAAUGUGUAAUGUGACUUCUUUUUCAAAAAAUUCCUUUUAUGCUAGUGGAUUGUUCAACCUGCUCACACAAUGACGUUUCUGGGAUAUUUUCCAAUCUUUUCUUCCUCUUAAAAUAGACCUCAUGUUCCAUCUUGGAAGGCGUUACAUUUACUUGUUAUUUGGUAUCUGAACUAUGUAUUUUGAAUGCUCCUGAAAAGCAGUUAUCUAAAAGACAUAUAGUUGUCCUCCAGAUUUUUCCUGGCUUCAAUUCUACAUAAGCUUGCAAUUUUGUGUUUGUAAUGUUAUCAGUUACCAUGUGUAAAGAAAUAUGACUUAUUGUUGGAACAAAAGAAAGGAUAGACAAGAUAUAGUUAGUAAAUAUCCUUCAGAGAAAAUUCCCAAGGAAAUUUCAGGACAUCUCUUCUCUUUCACAUAAAAUUCUUAAAGGUAGGAAUUUAAAGCAGAAAAAUUAGAUAGUCCUUGGGGCUUCAAAGUAAAUGAAGAUCGAUAGAUUUCAUAGAUAAAGAAAAAUGCAAAAGUAUUGCUAUUGUACUAUCAAGUGAUAAGUUAAAUAGCUGUCAAAGCCGCUAGUAAAAAAGAUACAAAUCAUAUAGACCUUCAUUAUAAAAAUAUUACACCUGGGAGGCAGAGCUUGCAGUGAGCCGAGAUCACGCCACUGCACUCCAGCCUGGACGACAGAGUGAGACUCUGUCUCAAAAAAAAAAAAAAAAUUAUAUCUGUAAAAUAUAUGUAUCCAUAAAGUGCAACACUCAAAGUGAAUAUAAAUUCGAUGUAAGGAAGGAAUAUCUUCUUUUUUUGCAAGAGAAAAAUCAAGUAUGGUCUGUACAUGAAAAUAAAAAAUGAGUUUCUUUAGAUUCUCCACGAUAAAAACAAAUAAUUUUUCCAAAGGGAAUAGACAUCUUGUCAGUCUGCAGGUGUUUCUCAAAAUGAAGUUUAAGGAUCACCUGCGUUAAUGUUACCUGGAAUGCUGGUGAACAUGCAUAUUCCUUGGUUCCACCUCAGACCUAAAGAAUCACAUGUUCCAGGGUGAAGGUGCCCAAACUUGAAUUAUUAACAUGGCUUUGAGGUGAUUCUGAUGAACAUUAAAGUAUGGAAACCUGGUGCAGCUUGUCGAAUUUCAGAUCACCCAGAAAACAAAGAAAUACAAAAUCCCAUUGGAAGUCCAAAACCUAUUUUCUUCAAAUAGAAGCAUUUGUAUCAAAUUGCUUUCUCAUUAUCAGUUUACCAAUAACAGUAAAAACAUAAAGGUAACAUGUUGAUAAGAAUAUUUAAAAG
ensembl:lncRNA